rnacentral:rRNA from 1 species
GUGCCAGCAGCCGCGGUAAUACGGAGGGAGCUAGCGUUGUUCGGAUAUACUGGGCGUAAAGCGCACGUAGGCGGCGCCGUAAGUCAGGGGUGAAAUCCCGGAGCUCAACUCCGGAACUGCCCUUGAAACUGCAGUGCUAGAAUCUUGGAGAGGCGAGUGGAAUUCCGAGUGUAGAGGUGAAAUUCGUAGAUAUUCGGAAGAACACCAGUGGCGAAGGCGACUCGCUGGACAAGUAUUGACGCUGAGGUGCGAAAGCGUGGGGAGCAAACAGGAUUAGAAACCCUCGUAGUCC